rnacentral:rRNA from 1 species
CAGUCGCCGCGGUAAUACGUAGGGUGCAAGCGUUAAUCGGAAUUACUGGGCGUAAAGCGUGCGCAGGCGGUUCGCUAAGACAGAUGUGAAAUCCCCGGGCUUAGCCUGGGAACUGCAUUUGUGACUGGCGGGCUAGAGUAUGGCAGAGGGGGGUAGAAUUCCACGUGUAGCAGUGAAAUGCGUAGAGAUGCGGAGGAAUACCGAUGGCGAAGGCAGCCCCCUGGGCCAAUACUGACGCUCAUGCACGAAAGCGUGGGGAGCAAACAGGAUUAGAUACCCGAGUAGUCCCUGUCUCUUAUAC